rnacentral:rRNA from 1 species
UACGUAGGGGGCUAGCGUUGUCCGGAAUCAUUGGGCGUAAAGCGCGUGUAGGCGGCCCGAUAAGUCCGCUGUGAAAGUCGGGGGCUCAACCCUCGAAAGCCGGUGGAUACUGUCAGGCUAGAGUACGGAAGAGGCGAGUGGAAUUCCUGGUGUAGCGGUGAAAUGCGCAGAUAUCAGGAGGAACGCCGGGGGCGAAAGCGAGUGACUGGCGCGUUCCUGACGCUGAGGUGCGAAAGCUAGGGGAGCAAACAGG